rnacentral:rRNA from 1 species
AGUGAACGCUGGCGGUAGGCCUAACACAUGCAAGUCGAACGGCAGCACAGAGGAGCUUGCUCCUUGGGUGGCGAGUGGCGGACGGGUGAGGAAUACAUCGGAAUCUACUCUGUCGUGGGGGAUAACGUAGGGAAACUUACGCUAAUACCGCAUACGACCUACGGGUGAAAGCAGGGGAUCUUCGGACCUUGCGCGAUUGAAUGAGCCGAUGUCGGAUUAGCUAGUUGGCGGGGUAAAGGCCCACCAAGGCGACGAACCGUAGCUGGUCUGGGAGGAUGAUCAGCCACACUGGAACGGAGACACGGUCCAGACUCCUACGGGAGGCAGCAGUGGGUAAUAUUGGACAAUGGGCGCAAGCCUGAUCCAGCCAUACCGCGUGGGUGAAGAAGGCCUUCGGGUUGUAAAGCCCUUUUGUUGGGAAAGAAAUCCAUCUGGUUAAUACCCGGGUGGGAUGACGGUACCCAAAGAAUAAGCACCGGCUAACUUCGUGCCAGCAGCCGCCGUAA